UAUAUAUAUAUAUAUAUAUACACAUAUAUAUAUAUAUGUAUGUAUGUAUGUAUGUAUGUAUGUAAGAGUUUUUUUAAUUUACAAUAUAACCUUUUUCGAUAUUGUGCGUUAUACACUGGCAUUCACAUAGAAAAGUACAACUUUUCAACAGUAGAUGUAACCAUACUUAUUGCUUUCGACUCAAACUAUAUAUUAAAGAAAUUUUUUGAACAUGUUAUAUCGGUAUACAAUUUGAAAUAAGCUCAAAUAAAGUAGAUAGAUAAUAUGAGCAGUGAGAAUUUAUAUAGUCGAUGAAGGACGAGGAAGAAAGCAAUAUGGAGAUAGAUAAUAUGAUUAGUGAGAACUCGUAUAGUCGAUGAAAGACGAGGCAAAAAGUAAUAUAGAUAUAGAUCGAUAAUAUGAUCAGUUGAGAACUCGUAACCGAGCAAUACGGAGAUAGAUAAUAUGAUCAGUGAGAACUCGUAUAACCGAUGAAGGACGAGAUAGGAAGGAAGCAAUAUGGAUAUAGAUAAUAUGAUCAGUGAAAACUUGUAUAAUCGACGAAGGACAAGAAAGAAAGCAAUAUGGAGAUAAAUAAUAUGAUCAGUGAAAAUUCGUAUAUAUAGUCGAUGAAGGACGAGGAAGAAAGCAAUAUAGAGAUAGAUAAUAUGAUCAGUUGAGAACUCGUAACCGAACAAUAUGGAGAUUGAUAGAUAAUAUGAUUAGUUUAGAACUCGUAUAACCAAGCAAUAUGAAGACAAAUAAUAUGAUCGAUGAAAACUCAUAUAACUGAUGAAGGAUGAGAAAAAAGACAAUAUAGAGAUAGAUAAUAUGAUCAGUUUAGAACUCGUAUAAUUAAGCAAUAUGAAUUCGAAGACAGAUAAUAUGAUCAAUGAAAACUCGUAUAACUGAUGAAGAACGAGAAAAAAAGUAAUGUAAAUAUAAAUAAUAUGAUCAGCGAGAAUUCGUACGGUCCACGAUGAUGAUAGAAAAAAAGCAAUAUGGAGAUAGUGGAGUAGUAAGGUUAGUGGAUACUCUGAAAAAGUUGUUACUAUAUGACAAAUUUCCAAUACCAUUUUUGUGUAUAAAUAAUAAUAAUAAUAAUAAUAGUAAUAUAUAGGCAACAGAUAAUUAAAUAGGACGGCCAUCGUCCCAUGCUCACUUUAUAUUACAACAACAACAAAAAAAUGUAAUUCUAUACUUUAUAUUAGUAUAAACUUUUGUACCUUUAUAAAUUUAGCCAAACUUUAGUAUAUGUAGGUUGGUUGGUUUUUGG
rnacentral:lncRNA from 1 species